GUAGCUCUUAUGACAUUUGGAAACUAUGUGCUCUUCAACUUAUUGGUGGCCAUCUUGGUUGAGGGUUUCAAGCUGAGGGUGAUGCUAAUCGGUCGGAGUCGGAUGAUGAGAAGAAAUCAGACAACUUUGAGGAGGAUGAGAAGGUAGAGCAGCUCAGAGACACCGAGUUAAAAAUGUAUUCUCUGAUGAUGACAGCCAAUGGUCAUGUGGACCCUCGU